rnacentral:lncRNA from 1 species
AGGGCCUUCCGUGAACACUGAAGGUGAAUGAAGCCAGAUCCUGUCUCCUCGUUCAUUCACCGGGAUGACAUCUCUCUCUCUUACCCUGUGUGUUAGGACCUUCCUCAAUGGGAAAAUAAACAGAUCUGCCAGAUGACUCUUCUUAGAGUGUGCGGUGUCAGUCAGGAGCCGGACAGAUAAAGGUGUCACACUCAGCCAGGAUAAGUGGGGAAGUGGGUGGGGCUGUGGAUGGGAAAGCAACAGCAAUGUGCAAGAAUCCUGGAGGCCCACAACGAGAAAGGGGAAACAAGCUGAAGUGACUGUCUCUCCCAUCUCCCAUUGUCCAAACAGGAAGGCAGAAAUCAAGGGCACCCCUGGCACAGAACACAGAGUAUGAGAAGGCCUGAGUUCCGAUCCUCAGAACCCAUGAAAAGCUGGUCUCUGCAGCAGCAUCUACAGCCUCAGCUCUUCCAGUGCCAGGGAGCAGACAGGUAGACCUGGUCUCACAGGACAGUCGGUCCAGCUCAGUCAGACUCUAAUAAGUAACAAAACCAUCUGGUUUUAAAGAAAAAAACAAAAACAAAGGGACAGACCUAUCCACCUUCACCCAGCCUGAACCUUGUACUUUAUCAGGUCUCUAGGACACUCACCUACCCUGAGAAGUGGGAGAGCCACUGGCUUGCAGCAGCACAGAUGAUGAGAAAGAGUGAUGUAUCAGGGAAAGAGCCCGGGACCUGAGACAGCCACAACCCAGACUCCCCCGACCCAACGAACGGGCUGAACUGGAGGCUGCUGUGAUUGAGGAAAAUUCAAAAUAAACUGAAGAAGAUUUAAUGGUUUUAAAACAAAGGGAGGGCCUGUUUCUCUGGGACAUAGGCUAAGUUUGCCCAGUGGGUUCCAGCUGUCCUUCAAUCAGGCUAGCCUGGGUUUUGCUUUCGUUUUUAAGAUGAUCUAUUUUCAUUG